rnacentral:rRNA from 1 species
CCGAGGAAAAGAAAUCAACCGAGAUUCCCCCAGUAGCGGCGAGCGAACGGGGAGGAGCCCAGAGCCUGAAUCAGUGUGUGUGUUAGUGGAAGCGUCUGGAAAGGCGUGCGAUACAGGGUGACAGCCCCGUACACAAAAAUGCACAUAUUGUGAGCUCGAUGAGUAGGGCGGGACACGUGGUAUCCUGUCUGAAUAUGGGGGGACCAUCCUCCAAGGCUAAAUACUCCUGACUGACCGAUAGUGAACCAGUACCGUGAGGGAAAGGCGAAAAGAACCCCGGCGAGGGGAGUGAAAAAGAACCUGAAACCGUGUACGUACAAGCAGUGGGAGCCUCUUAAUGGGGUGACUGCGUACCUUUUGUAUAAUGGGUCAGCGACUUAUAUUCUGUAGCAAGGUUAACCGAAUAGGGGAGCCGAAGGGAAACCGAGUCUUAACUGGGCGUUAAGUUGCAGGGUAUAGACCCGAAACCCGGUGAUCUAGCCAUGGGCAGGUUGAAGGUUGGGUAACACUAACUGGAGGACCGAACCGACUAAUGUUGAAAAAUUAGCGGAUGACUUGUGGCUGGGGGUGAAAGGCCAAUCAAACCGGGAGAUAGCUGGUUCUCCCCGAAAGCUAUUUAGGUAGCGCCUCGUGAAUUCAUCUCCGGGGGUAGAGCACUGUUUCGGCAAGGGGGUCAUCCCGACUUACCAACCCGAUGCAAACUGCGAAUACCGGAGAAUGUUAUCACGGGAGACACACGGCGGGUGCUAACGUCCGUCGUGAAGAGGGAAACAACCCAGACCGCCAGCUAAGGUCCCAAAGUCAUGGUUAAGUGGGAAACGAUGUGGGAAGGCCCAGACAGCCAGGAUGUUGGCUUAGAAGCAGCCAUCAUUUAAAGAAAGCGUAAUAGCUCACUGGUCGAGUCGGCCUGCGCGGAAGAUGUAACGGGGCUAAACCAUGCACCGAAGCUGCGGCAGCGACACUAUGUGUUGUUGGGUAGGGGAGCGUUCUGUAAGCCUGUGAAGGUGGCCUGUGAGGGUUGCUGGAGGUAUCAGAAGUGCGAAUGCUGACAUAAGUAACGAUAAAGCGGGUGAAAAGCCCGCUCGCCGGAAGACCAAGGGUUCCUGUCCAACGUUAAUCGGGGCAGGGUGAGUCGACCCCUAAGGCGAGGCCGAAAGGCGUAGUCGAUGGGAAACAGGUUAAUAUUCCUGUACUUGGUGUUACUGCGAAGGGGGGACGGAGAAGGCUAUGUUGGCCGGGCGACGGUUGUCCCGGUUUAAGCGUGUAGGCUGGUUUUCCAGGCAAAUCCGGAAAACC